rnacentral:tRNA from 1 species
CAGUUAGCUCAGUUGGCAGAGCGCAGGUUCCAUGACCCAAUAGUCACGGGUUCGAAUCCCGU